CUUUGCACACGCGGGAGCUCGGAGCACCGGGCUGAGAGGGCGUUGACCUCCGCAGACGCGAUGUUUCACGUGGAACAUCGCCGGGCGGAAAUCGCUGCGUCGACCGCUGAACCUGUUACCGGGUAAUGCCGGCGUAGGGAGUAGGUCUCAUGACCAU
rnacentral:ncRNA from 1 species